CCCAAGAUCACUUCAAUGAUGAAGCAACCAUCCACUAGAAUCAUCUCCACAAAUUCUUUGCUGCUCAUGUUUAUGGGCUCCAUGUAACAGUCUCGGGCCGUUUUCUCCUCCCUGGAUAUAAUUUCAACACACUCCUCUAAGGUUUUGCGGGUUCUAUGAAGAAAAUUUUGGAGGUACCUCAGCUUAUGCUCUUCCAUGGCGAUCAAGUGCUCUUCGCCAUGAUGUAAGGGACCGAUGGAGACUACUCUAGGCGUGUAGGCUUCCAUAUUUACUUUCCGCAGUUUCUGUGGCACUCUAUAUAUACAGCAUGUAGCCGACAGGGGAGUCAACCUGUCCAACCUUCCUUGAAGAGAAGUAGCCACUUCUUUUGAUGACUUCUUCAACAUUUCAUCCGAAGCAUGGUCUUCUUUUCCAGCUUCUCCUAGUGGUUAAAUAAUUAACAAAGAUGAAGUAAUCAAUCAAUUCUUCCUUCAAAUCUUAUCACAUUUUUGGCUGUUUGGAAAAACCUAAAACUUAUUACUUACUCACUCAACUUAACUUUUAUUUUUUUACUUUUAAGUAUCCAAGUUGUUUAAUAAAGUUAUAUAAAUUUUAUUUUAAAUCAUUAAAUUGACACAUUUGCCUUUAUCAAUUUUAACUAAUCUUUAUGUUAUUGAUUUUAACUCAUGUUUAUUUUUAUUAAUUUUAAGUAAUAAAUUUAUUUAUAAAACAUCCAUAUUUAAAAUAUUAUAGUUACAUAAGAUAAUCAUAAAAUAUUUAUUAUAAAAAAUAAGUAAUAGAUGUGAAAUCAUAAAUCUAAAAUAUACUCUCACUAAUAUAAACAAAUAAGGUAAAAAUGAUUUGAGAUUAAAAAUAAAUAGGAGAAUUACCUUUUGGGGGUAGAUGGACCCCCAAAUUAACAAAAGAUCCAUAUAACUCUUCAAAUUGAGUUGAAGGACAUGAAAUAGUAACGGACAAAUAUACUCUUUAAGAAUACAUAUAAAAUAUUUUAUAAAAUUAGUUAAAUAAUUUUUUUUCAAUAAUUUUUUUAAAAUACUAAAUUAAAUAAAAGUAGUUUUCAAAAAUAUUAAAUUAAAUAAUUUUUUUUUCAAAAAUAUUAAAUUAAUUUUUUUUUCAAAAAUAUUAAAUUAAAUUAAAGUAUUUAAAAAAAAUAUUAAAUUAAAUAUUUUUUAAAUAUUAAAUUAAAUAAAUUUAUUUUAAAAAAAUAUUAAAUUAAAUAAAUUUAUUUUAAAAAAAUAUUAAAUUAAAUAAAUUUAUUUUAAAAAAAUAUUAAAUUAAAUAAAAGUAUUUAAAAAAAUAUUAAAUUACAUAAAAGUAUUUUUUUAAUAUUAAAUUAAAUAAAUUUAUUUUAAAAAAAUAUUAAAUUAAAUAAAAGUAUUUUAAAAAAUAUUAAAUUAAAUAAAAGUAUUUUAAAAAAUAUUAAAUUACAUAAAAGUAUUUUUUUAAUAUUAAAUAAAAUAAAUUUAUUUUAAAAAAAUAUUAAAUUAAAUAAAAGUAUUUAAAAAAAUAUUAAAUUACAUAAAAGUAUUUUUUAAAAAAUAAAAAAUAUUAAAUUAAAUGAAAGUAUUUUUCAAAAAUAUUAAUUUUUUUUUCUCAAAAUCAACAAAGGACAUUUUUGGAAAUACUGAAGGAUGACAUCCUUCAACUCAAUUUCCAUACUUUCAUUGGGUCUUGAGCUCAAUUUGAAGAGUUACAUGAACCUUUUAUUAAUUUGGGGACACAUCUACCCCCAAAACAUAAUUCUCCCAAAAUAAAUUAACUAUUAUUUUUAACUCAAAUAACUUUAUGUAUGACUCAUAAUAGCUUAUUAAAUCAUUAAAAUUGAUAUAUAUAUAUAUAUAUAUAUAUAUAUAUAUAUUGGAAAAGUGAGAUUUGAUUCACUAAUAUGAAAAUAUAUGGUAAAAAAAACCCCAAAUAUUUUAAAUUAGACUUAUCAUCAUCUAUUUAAAAAUAAUUUGAAAUACAUGCAUUUUUUAAUGAGUCAUCCAGUUAUUUCAAAAAAUGUUAUUUUACUUGUCAUAUCAUUUAAAUCAAUUGACAACUAAACUUAUUUGUAUAAAUGCUUCUCUUCUUUUUAGAUAUUUUAUUAUUUUAUUAUUUGAGAUUUUUUUCUCUAGAAACAAACACCUCGUGAGAUUCUUAUUUUAAUUUUCUAAAAGUUUAGGAAAUAUUAUGUAAAAAAAUCCUAUUUAAAUAGGAUUAAUUUUUUUAUUUCCUAAAAUUUUAAGAGGGAAUAUUGUCAAACAAAUUCUAUUUAAUUAUAAUCAUCAAUUCAAAAAGUAAUAAGGUUGUUUAUUAAAUAAUAAAUAAUAAAUAAUAAAUUUAGUGAUAUAUAAUUAUGAUUAAUUAAUUUAAUAUAAAAUUUUAUUUAUUUAUUUAUUAAUAUACUAUAUAUCAAAGUACAACCAUAUUGUAAAACAUUUUAUAUCUAAAACGCUCUUACAACAAAUUUUAUUCGUUAUUAUAUUAAACAAUUAUUAAUAUUACAUAAUAAAUAUAAAUUUAUUAUUAGUUUAUUUAUUAUCAAGAAUAUGAAUUUAUUUUUAACUUAUUAACACUAUAAUAAACUCUCUUUUUUUCUUUUUCUUUUUUUCAAAUUCUUACUUUAUAAUGUUUUUAGAGAAAAAAAUCCCAAAUAAUAAAGUAAUAAAAUAAUAAUAAUAAUAAUAAUAAUAAUAAAAAUAAAAUAUCUAAAAAGAAAGAAAAUAUAUACAUGGAAAAGUCUAGUUGUCAAUUGAUUUAGAUGACAUGACAAAUAAAGGAAUAUUUUUGGGAAUAAUUGAAUGACUCAUAAAGUGUAUGUAUUUUAAAUUAUUUUUAAAUAGAUAAAGAUAAUACUAAUUUAAAACAUUUGAGGUUUUUUUCUAUAUAUUUCAUAUUAGUAAAUCAAAUUUCACUUUUCCAUAUAUAUAUAUAUAUAUAUAUAUAUAUAUAUAUAUAUAUAUAUAUAUAUAUAAUCAAAUUUAGGGUUUUUAUAGGAUGCAUAAAACUACAUUAUCUUUAAUAAGUUAAUUUAUUUAUAAAAUUGCACAAUAAAAUAAAAUAAAAUAAAAUUUUCACUUCAUGAGUGAAUUAGAAAUUGAUAUAUAGAUUGCAAGUCUGUCUAAUUAACUUAUCUGUUACUUUUUUUUCUCCUCACAUAUUUGUUAGAAUGCAACAAUAUUGUUUUCAAACCCAAAAAUAAACCACCUAAAUGAUGACACUUGAAUGCUACAAAAGUCUUAACCUACCCUCAUUAGAUACCAACUGAUUUUCACAUGUUGGAGGUGCAACAAUGUUCAUUACAAUGAUGCAAGGUAUCCAUGAGUUCCUUUAAAUGACAAACAAAUUGAAUACAGGCAAGCUCACCAGAAGCGCUACCCUGCAAUGAAAUGGUUGUUGCUUCUCUCUGAAUCUUUGCUGCCGAUUCCAUGGCCGCUUGUGAUAUUAUAACACAGCGUAGUGGAAAGAGUGUAUCUUAAAACCUUUGUUUCUUUGUUUCUUCAUCACUAGCUUUUGCAACGAAGGGUAUUCAGCACCUGCAGUCAGAUUUUGGAUUCAAAUGGUCAUUACUCUCAAUCAAUAAAGAUACUGGAAAGCUUCCUUUUUCUUGGGAAGUAUACUCUGCCUUUUGUUUCUUCUUUCACUCUUACCACAUCCACUCAAUGAGGAUAUGGAGGAUAAUAUCUGUGUGUGGGUGCACAUGGAAACAAAAUUUUCCACAGAAAUAUCAGUGGUCAACGCUUGCAUUGACCGAGGCAAAGCUCAGUGUUGCCCAAGUCAAAGCUCAAAAAUGAGCAUCCAGGGCAAAUUUGCCCCUUGUUAAUAACCUUGCACUAUAUAUACAUAUAUUAAAAAUUUUCAUAUACACAAAAUAUUAAAACAAUACUUUAAACAAUAAAUUAAUUAUAAUUAUUUUAUAAUUAAAUAAAAAAAAUUCAUUUAAUUAAGUAACAAAAAGUUUUUAAUAUCAUUAAUAUAUUAAUUAAAAAUUAAAAAAAUUAUACAUUUAUCAUUAUUUGUUUUAUAUCAUUUAAUACAAUUAAAUUAAAUAUAUCAUAAUUUUAAUAUUAAAUAUAUUCUAAAAUUAAACAUAUUAUAAUCAAAUAUCACAAUAUUAUUAUCGAAUAAUAUUUGAUGUAAUUUAACAAUCAAUGUACACUUAUAUAUAUUAAUUUAUUCAACAAAACAACUUUAAAAUAUCUAUUAUACUUCUAAUUUCAUUUUUAAGAGCUUUAUUUAUAUUUUCAAAAGUUUUGAUCAAUUUUAAAUCAAUCAAUAUUUUGCAUUAAAAUAUCUGUCGAUAUAUCUUCAAUAUAUCGUAAAAUCGAACUAUCGAUAUAUCCGUGAUUAUCGAUAUUUUUAUUCUUGAUGAGGAUAAGGUUAAGGGUGGGGCUCAGAGGACGCACGUCCUCAAAAAUAAGAAAAAGAGAGAAAACAAGAAUUUGGGGAAUUUUCUGAAUAUAUAUUAUAUAUCUUAAGUCUUUCCGAUCAAGUUCAAGUUGUUUGUUUUAAAUCAAAUAAAAUAUUAUCCCGUUUGCAUGUCAAUCAAGGAUGAAAAUAUCAGUAAUUACGGAUAUAUCGAUAUUUUGAUUUUAUAGAUAUACAAAAAAAUAUUGGUAGGUAUUUUGAUAAAAAAAAUUAAUAAAAUAAAAAUAAAGAAAAUGAUAUAAGAAGUAAUAAUAAACAUUUAAAGUUAUUUUUUUGAAAAAAUUAAUAAAUUACCAUAAGAGAAACGAUGAUAUUUAAUUAAAUAUUUUUUAAUUUAAAAAUGUUGAAAUUUUAUUUUUGAAUUUAUAUUUGUUUUGUAUUUAAUUAGUAUACAAAAUAUAUAACAAGAUAAUUAAAAUUAAAUUAUUUAUAAUAAUUUUAUUUUAUUUAAUUAUCAUGUGAGAAAAGAUGAUAUUUAAAUAAAUAUUUUAUAUUUAAAAAUAUUGAUAAUUUUAUUUAUGAAUUUACAAUUGUUUUGCAUUUAAUUAGUAUAUAAAAUAGAUAUGAUGGUUAACAAGUGUGGGCUUGGGCUUAAUCUAACUCUUGGCCCAUUGGAUAGAACUAAAAAAUUUAAUAUGUAUGGGUUGAUUGGACUAGUUUUGACCCAGCCCAUUGCACAAAUUUUAAAAAUUUUCAAUUUUACAAGUUAAAAAAAAAAAAAUAAUUUUCUUUGAAAGAUUACUGAUUUUCCUCAAAAAAUUGCCAUUGGACGAUAUUUUGCCAAUUUUCCACAAUGGCACGUGUGGCAAGAGAAACAUUGUUGAUUAAAUCGACAAUCACAAUAUUAGUGAUUUUUCUCUAUUUUUUCUUAUUUCCCACCCGUUCGAGCUUUUAGUGUGGAAUUUCGUGUUGACUUCGCCUAAUAUUCGAAAUAUCGUCGAUAUAUCUCAAAAUUUUAAAUCUUAAUAUCAACUAUUUUUUUCAUGGUAUUUCUUAAACCCAUAUGGUUAUCUCAUGUAAAUAUUUUAAGUAAAAUGCUAUAAUUAAGAAACGCAUUAUUUAUUUCUAGUAGUCAUCUUAUGCCACAAUUCCAAGAUAAUGCAAUUGUUAAAACCACUCUAAUGCUCACAAUUUGAAUAUUGGAUUAAAGAUCUCAAAAAAAAAAACUCAAAACCAAAUAUCUAACAAUAGUCUUUUACUACUAAUUUGACUUCUAUCUAAAUACGGUACCAUUGUAAUUCCGUUUAAUCAUGUACACCCAUUUACAUCCUACAAAUUUUUUGUUAGAUGGUAACAAUACUUUCACGAUUUAAUCUUUAGGAAAGCAUCAAAUUCUUGGUUAAUAACACCUUUCUACUUUGAAUCAUGAAUUGCUUCACUGUGUAGUUGGUUUUGUAUGACAUUAGUUGCAAUAAAGAUUUGGGGUUUAAAGAUUUCAUUCUUGGAUCUCGGUAGUUUAAUAAACUGUCUCUAGAAAUGGUUGUUUGGGGUAAAGAGUUGAAUGAUUUUGGGAAUUAGAUUGCUUGUAACUGAAAGUAGAAGAUUCUAGAUCUAUUCAGUGUUUGAAUUAACUACAUGUGGUGAAGGGAUUGAGUUCAUGGAAACUUAGGCAUGCAUAAGAGAUGAUUUUUUUAGUAAGUGUGAUUAUGCUUAAAGUGAAUUUGAAGGUUUAUUGGAUUAAUAUGGAAAAGUGUUUGUAUUUUUAUCAAAAGUAACAUACCUAAGAAUAUCAUAGUCUUUUGUAAGAUCUAAGCACUUAAAGCCCGUUUUAUAGUGAUUUUAAGAAGUGUUUUUAUCAUUUUUAAUACUUAAAAUUUUGUAUCAUUCAAGUGUUAGAAAGAUUAAAAACUUUUUUAGAAUCAUUACCAAACACACUCUUAGAGUCUAUCUAACAAUGAUUUUAGGAAGCACUUCUAAUAUUUUUAAUAUUUAAAAUUUUUAUUAUUUACGUGUUAAAAAUACUAAAAACGUUUUUCAGAAUCACUGUCAAACAUACUCUUAUAUCCCUUAUUUGUACUUUUAUAUCUAAGGAUCGUAUAUAGAAGAGACAUAGACAAUUUCUCCAAACAAUCCCAUGAUGUUUUGAUUUGAUUUUCUCAUGAUGUUUUGGUUUAAAAUGGGUGAGAAAAAUGGGGUGGGAUGGAAUCAAAUGAUUCAAACCUAGGCCUAUUGUUUGAGAAUAAGGGAUAUUAAUGCUUUUUCUAUGUAAUUGAAACUUCCCUGAUAUUAUGUCCCUUAAAAAAAUAAAAAUACUACUUUUAUUCCCAUAACUAAUUUUCAAAACCAAACAAUAAUUUAACAUUAUGAAUAAAUAAAUUGUAAUUAUCUUUACUCAUGUUCAAAUUUUAUUAAAUUACAUAUUGCAAAUAAAAAUAUCAGCACGAUAAUUUUCUCAAAAUUGUUAUCAUUAAUGUUUUAAAUUCAAGCAUACAUCAUAAACAUAAUUACAAUUAUUUUUUAAAAUAUUUUAUUCAUCCUCCUUAAAAUUCUAGUUAAAUAUUAAUUUAAAAUUUCAUCAUAUAUCUCCCUAAUUUUUCUAUUUAUUAUUUUCAUUCAUCUUAUUUAAUUCAAAUUAAUGAAGGUAUUUAAUGAAAUUUCAAAGUGUAUUUAACCCAAAUAAGAUGAAUGAAAUUUAUUCUUUUUGUUAAAAACUACUACAUAAAAUAUUCAAUGAAAUCAAAUUAUUGCCAUCCUAUUAAAUAUAUAUGUUUUCAAAACUCAUAUUUCUUUAAAAAAAAAAAAAAAGAAGUGUAUUAUUAUAAAAUAUCACAAAUUUUAUUAUACAUAUGUUCUUUAAAAAAAAUCAAUACAUAUAUUAUUCUUUAUUUUUGAAAUUUUUGAAAAAUUUUCAAAUAUUUCCAUCAACUUAUUUUAAACAAGGUUUGACAAUUCUGUUCUAAAUCUACACAACCUGCAACCAAUUAAAUAUUCAACUAUGGUUUUACUGUUUGACCUUAUCUAUGAAGUUUUUUGGAGAUUCGGUAAGUAGCAUUUCAUGUGUAUUUAAUGUUCAUUAUAUGGAUUGGCCAAUCAAUAUUUUGGAUCUGAGUUAAUUGUUAACCAAUAAUAUCUAGAUAUAAUUUAAAAAUUAGGAUAUAACAAACCUCUUAGUCUAUUUUUUUAGUGAAUCAAAAGCAAACUUAUAUUUUCUACAUUUUGUAUCUACACAACUUUUAUUAGUGAAUUAAAAGCAAAUAACAUCCACGUGCAUUUUUUUAAUGAUAACAAAUAUUGGUCCAUUUUUCGGUUGAGAUGUUAUUCUAUCCAGUUAAUUUACCUUUUAAUUCAUACGUUGAAUACUAAAACACAUGAUUCACCCUUAUAAAAAAAAUAUUAAAUUUUGCACAUUAUUGUUUAUUUAACUUAUUUAUAUUUUUUUGCCUUACUACCAUCAUGGGCAUGGCAUAAAUAUUAUAUAUAAAACAUGAUAACAUUCAUCUGUGUAACAACAUUUCAUAUUUGUAUGUAUACAUGGAUAAUUCAACAGCAAAAGUAAUUACUUAAGAGACAUGGCCGAAAAUAUUGUUUGUAAGAGAGUAAGUAGGAGUAUAACUGCAGCAAUUGUAGAAGGCCCUCUCCAUAGCGAACAGAAAUAGUCAUGUCUCAAUGUUGCCCUCCAACUGUUCCAUGGACUAGUCAAGUAUUCACUUAGCUCGACAUAUAUACCUGAAAAAUGGAAGGUAUCCCUCCAUAAUUCAACAUCAAUUGGUAGUCUGUUAAAUAGGUUCUAAACCGCAAUGUUGUCGCCCAGAUGACUACUAAUAAUUCUCUUCCUAACAAGUAGGUUGACGUCAUUAAUAGUGUUAAUAAGGUGAUCCAUGAGGUAAAUGUAGUCGGUUAUGUAAGUGUGUGCAUGGGAGUGGCAUUGCUCAAAGGCAAUGAGGUUUAAGGAUUCACACUUUUCUUGCAGUAUUAGACUUGGAAUUCUCAGAACUGUUAGAAUAAAUGUGGACCCACAUCAUAUUAACCAUUAUUCAGGAUUUAGUUAUCCAUAUAUAUAUAUAUAUAUAUGAUUGCUGAUUGAUCCAGAGUAUGGACCAUCUUAUGUGUAGAGCCCAAUGCCAUAACGGGCCUUAAAUGAUGGGCUUAAGACUCAUGAGGCCCAAUAACCCAAAGGGUAUGGUCCCUAAGACAGGAGGGUAUAAUAGAGGUUAAGUGUCUGUUCUUCAGAUGAUCACAUCUUUUGAAUAAAGAACAAAACAUGUUCUCUCCCACUCCCAUCACCAAAGAGAAUACUGAGAAAGGUGGUGCCCUCCACAGCCUUAGAAGAUCCAUACAUCUUCAUCAAACACAUAAAUGGAUUCAGGUUAGUUCCCUUUCUAUAGAAAUUUAUGGCAUAGUUUCUUCACAUGAUUAAACAUAUUAUUCAUGUAUGAUAUUAUGGGAUUUGCAAUGGAAUUACUUUCAAUUGGUAUCAGAGCCUCAUGUUUAAUCAUUAAGAAAUUGCCAACAUGAAUUCUAUACAGCAAAAGCCUAGAAACCAUUCUGAUAUCCCAAAUUGGAAUUGCUUUGUCCUGCAACUGGAAAUUUCUGAAAGCCCCGCCACCUUUGGAUCAAAAUUCUUUAAUGGUGGGGGUGGCUUGUGCUGUCUGUCGGCCAUGGGUGCGACUGGGUGAAGAUAAGUAGUGGCCGGCCACGAUGGCGCCGUUGUAGCGCCGUUUCGGUGCAUGUCAGGCGGUCGAAGCAGCGUUGGGCGUUGCGACGCGUCUUAUGGCAGUCGGAAAAGGCGUUAAAAAGAUGUCGUUUAAGGCGCUUUUGCAAGCCUCCUUAUAGGCAUUCAGACGUCAUUCAAGGGCCAUCCGACGCCGGUGAGGGGCGUGGUUUCAAGCGCCAUACCAGGCGCCAUUCAAGGUGUGCCUCAGUCACCAUUCCGACGCUGUUCAGGCGCACUUUGGAGGCAUUGCAGCGACGUCUUUCAAGCGGCAUUUUCAUUUCGAUCUAUGACGCCGUUCUCGGCGUCGUGUCGGGGAUCGGAAGGCGCCGUUUUGGUGCCGUUGAGGUACCAUUUCAGGUGCCGUUUGCAGCGCUGUUCUAAGUGUGCUUCAGGCGCUGUUCAAGUGCCCUUUUUGGGGCUGCAAGUCACAGUGGUUGGUGCCAUUUCAGGCGAACGAGACGCCAUCAUGGCGUCGUUUCCAGACAGCGGUGCAGUGGCAGAUGCCGUUAGGCGUCAUGUCGACGUCGUUUCAGGCGUUCAAAAGGGCGCCAUUUUUAAGCGCUGCAGGCACUAUUUCCAAACACCAUUCAAGCGUCAUUCGCUAGUGAGAAGCGCUAAUUUAAGUGUUAUUGCAAGCGUUCCAGACGCCAUCCAGGCAUCGUUUUGGCAUCGUGGGUGGGGCUGCUUUCCAGUGACGCAGUUACAGCGUUAUUCCGGUGUAGCGUCGUCCUUUGGAAAUGGGAAAUCAUCGUUCUGGUGAUCGCUGAUGAUGCCACUAUGGGGGAUGGUCGCUUUGGGUUGCAGUGAACAAAAAUAAAUAAAUAAACAUAUAUAUAUAUAUAUAUAUAUAUAUAUAUAUAUAUAUAUGGAAGGGGCUUGGCUUGUAAGUGACCACAAGUGGUUGUUGGCCCAUGAGAGAAUGCAUGGUCAGUAGCCCCAAAGAAGGCAUUUUGACUAUUUGAUAAUCUAUUAAAAGAAGGCAUGUUGCUACCAAGUUGGUGUUGCAUGCACAAGAAUUUUAGGGAGAUGGUGGACCACCUUUUUUUGUAGUCCAACUGGAUUGGAAAAUUUUCCCAUCCUAUUAUGCUAUAUUUGUGUUUAAUAUUUUUUUUAAAUAAAUGAAUUAUAUAUAUUAGUUGUCAAAGUAACUUAUAUUACAUAAUUUAUUUAUUUUAUAAUAUCUAAACAUGUUAUUAUUAUUAUUAUGUAAAAUAAUCGACCUAAAGGAAUAUUAUUUUAAUAUAAUAAUAAAUAAAGUAGUCAUAAAUACGUGACAUAUAAAGUUUAUCUUACUUGCUAUAUGUCAGUCCAAAGACAUGCAUAUUGCUUCUGUUUUAUUGUUAAUAUUUGUGAACUAAUUUUGUAAAAGGAUACCAAUUACAAAUUGAUAUUUUUGUCCAAAGACUGAAUAUUAAUGUUUGUGUUAGGUAUCUUGUAAUAGACCUUCAUUGAUUAUAAGUAGACUUUUUCAUCAGUUUCGUCAAAGGACUCCUUUAGAAUCAUCAUGGCACUUGUGGCUCAGUAUGAUUUAGAGCUGCAUCAAAUGGAUGUUAAAACUGUGUUUCUUAAUGGUAACAUUGAUGAGAUAAUAUACAUGGUGCAACCGGAGAACUUUGAGUCUAAUGAUUCAAAGCAACUUGUAUGCAAAUUAAAAAGGUCCAUAUGUGGUUUAAAGCAGACAUCACGACAAUGGUACCGAAAGUUUGAUUAGGUGAUUACUUCAUUUGGUUUUAAGGAGAACACCGUUGAUCAAUGCGUAUAUCUCAAGUUCAGUGGAAGCAAAUUCAUUAUCUUGGGGCUAUAUGUAGAUGAUAUUCUACUUUCUAGUAGUGAUGUAGAACUCUUGCAUAAAACCAAGUGGUUUCUAUUCAGUAAAUUUGACAUAAAGGAUCUUGGUAAUGCAUCUUUUGUGCUGGGUAUACAGAUCUAUAAAGAUCAUUCAAGAGGUAUACUUGGGCAAUCAUAAAAGUCAUACAUUGAUAAGGAGUUAAGUAGGUUUGGCAUGAGCAAUUAUGCACCAGGAGACACGCCUGUGGCAAAAGGCGAUACAUUUAGUUUACACCAAUGUCUGAAAAAUGAACUUGAGAGGAAUGAUAUGGUUGUGGAAUUUUAUCACUCAAUUGCGAAUUGUUGAUGGGAUUAAGAAACCAUUAAGAAUCAAUUGUGAUAAUAAGGUCGCAUAAUUGUAUUCUAAGAACAACCGAAGUUCGUCAAAGUCCAAAUACAUUGACAUCAAGUUCUUGGUUGUGAAAGAAAGAGUUCAGAGUCUUCAAGUAUCAAUUGAACAUAUAAGUACAAACUCCAUGAUUGUGGAUCUGCUCACUAAGGGUUUGCCACCCAAAGUAUAUCAUGAGCAUGUCACACAUAUGGGUGUUGUACACAUUGAUGAUGUGCUAGUAUAGUGGGAGUUUGUAUUUAGAUUUUGUGUUUGUUUUCUUGAUGUGAUAUUAUGUUUGUGUUAUCUGUACAAACCUUGUUUUUAAAGACUAUUGUAUUUUAAUACUUUGAAUUGAAAUGAUAACUUUCAGAAGCAGUUUAGCAUUAAGUGUUGAAAGUGAAAUUUGACUAUUUUUAGUCAUAAAGCAGGACCAAUUGGAAAUAGACAUAUUAAAGAUCGCAUUCUAUGUAAUUUCCAUGCUACACAUCCAUACUUGACCCAUGUUGCUAAUUUUGUUAAUGUUGUGAUCAUUGAUGGGUCUAAUUAUAAUUAUGAUUAACGAAAGCCGCUUUGAUCCUGUGUUAGCAUAAUUAGUAGACCGGAUUGUUUAAGGAUAUUUGAAUAGGAUAGCAAAGAUGAGCUUAAUGAAGUAUUAUCAUGAACAUUGUUGGCUAAUAUAUGUGGUCCAAAUGGGAGAUUGUUAGAAUAAAUAUGGACCCACAUUAUAUUAACCAUUGUUUAGGAUUUAGCUAUCCAUAUAUACAUAUGAUUGCUGAUUGAUCUAGAGUAUGGACCACCUUAUGUGUAGAGCCCAAUGUCAUCACGGGCCUUAGAUGAUGGGCCUAAGACUCGUGAGGCCCAAUAACCCAAAGGGUAUGGUCCCUAAGGCAGGAGGGUAUAUAAAGGUUAAGUGUUUAUUCUUCAGAUGAUCACAUCUUUUGAAUAAAGAACAGAACGCGUUCUCUCCCAUUCCCAUCACCAGAGAGAAUACUGAGAAAGGUGGUGUCCUCCAUAGCCUUAGAAGAUCCAUACAUCUUCAUCAAACGCAUAAAUGGAUUCAGGUUAGUUCCCUUUCUAUAGAAAUUUAUGGCAUAGUUUCUUCACAUGAUUAAACAUAUGAUUCCUGUAUGAUGUUAUGGGAUUUGCAAUGGAAUUACUUUCAAGAACAUCAUCGCUAUACUCUAUAUCAAGUAAGGGUUUAUCCUCUGCGUGCAACUAGAACCUUACUCCUCCCUCACGGAGCUGUGUUGCAGUAGGUAUCACGAGUUUGAAGUCAAAUGGUUUUACUGGACUAGGGGAUGAAGGCUGCAGACAAACUAUUAGCAAAUCAACAAAGUGCUUUACUUCCCCAUCAGUACUAGGGGUCUUCUUCGCAAUUUCAAUCAUUAUUUCUCCAGAACUUUUGGCUUCUGGCAUUUCCAAUAGUCUUUGAAGAAUUCGACAGAAAAGAGAAGGAAUGAGUAGUAGUCAUUUUGGUGUCCUGGUGGAGGGGGCAGGAGGCUGUAGAGAGUAACAAGACGAAAGAAUGGAAGCUGGUUUUCUAGUAAGGUCAUGUCACGGCACACAUCAAAGAACAACCAUGGCUUGUUGUAUAUCCGAUCAUCUGGUUUGAUAGUAUGACGGUUGGAAAAGUCCAAGAUCGCUUCAACGAUGAAGCAACCAUCCAAUAGAAUCAUCUUCAAAAAUUCUUUGCUGCUCAUGUUUAUGCUCUCCAUGUAACAGUCUCGGGCCCUUUUCUCCUCCCUGGAUAUAAUUUCAACACAGUCCGCUAAGGUUUUGCCGGAUUUAGAAAGAAAAUUUUGGAGGUACCUCAGCUUAUGCUCUUCCAUGGCUACCAAGUGCCCUUCGCCAUGAUGUAAGGAACCGAUGGAGACUACUCUUGGCAUGUAGGCUUCCCUAUUUUCUUUCUGCAGUUUCUGUGGCACUCUAUAUAUACAGCAUGUAGUCGACAGGGGAGUCAAGUUCUUUAACAUUCCUUCAAGAGAAGUAACCACUUCGUUUGAUGACUUCGUCAACAUUUCAUGUGAAGCAAUGUCUUCUUUUACAGCUGCUCCUAGUGGUUAAAUAAUUAACAAAGAUGAAGUAAUCAAUUAAUUCUUCAAAUCUUAUCAUACUUUGUUUGGAAAAACCUGAUGACUUAACCGAGUAAAGUUAACUUUAACUUAAAUUAUUCUUAAAUUACAGACUUAAAAUUAUUUAUUACUUAUUUUUUACUUUUAAAUAUUGAGGUUGUUUAAUCAAAUUAAUAUAAAAUUUAUUUUAAAUCAUCAAAUCGACGUAUUUACUUUUAUCAAUUUUAACUAAUAUUUAUCUUAUUGAUUUUAACUCCUAUUUAUUUUUAUUAGUUUUAAAUAAUAAAUUUAUUUAUAAAUCAUCCAUAUUUUAAAUAUUGUAGUUAUAUAAGAUAACCAUAAAACAUUUAUUAUAAAAAAAAUGAGUAUAAAUAUGAAAUCAUAAAUCUAAAAUAUACUUUCAUUGUGGACAAAUGAGUAAAAAUCAUUUGAAUAUAUAUAUUAUUACACUGCCUUAGUAAGUUAAUUUACUCAUAAAAUUGCACUACAAAAUAAAAUAUAAAAAUUUAGCUUCAUUGAAUUAGAAAUUAAUAUCAAAUACAAUGCAUGCAUGUUUAAUUAACUCAUGAGUGGAGUACUUUUUUUCUCCUAACAUAUUUGUUUAUUGGUUGUAACAAUAUCACUUUUAGACAUGAGGAUAGGUCACCCAAAUAAUGAUAAUCAAAUAUUUUAAAAGACUUAGUCUACUAUUACUAGAUACUGAUUGGAUUUCAUAUAUUGGGGAUAAUAUUGUUGGGGCGCAAUAAUGCCGCUCUUAAACUCGUGAAUGGGUUACCCAAAUGAUAUGGAUACCAAUUAAUUUUCAAACGAUAAUAAUAAUUGAAUAUUAUAAAAGGCUUAAUCUACUUAUACUAGAUACCAAUUGGUUUUCAUAUAUUGGGGAUGGCAUUGUUGGGGUGCAACAAUACCACUCUUAAGCCGAUGAAUGGAUCACCCAAAUCAUAUGGAUACCAAUUAAUUUUUAAAUGAUAAUGAUAAUAAAUAUUAUAAAAUACUUAGUUUAUCUUCACUAGAUACCAAUUGGUUUUCACAUAUUGGAAAGACAUUGUUAGGUUGCAACAAUGUCACUCUUACAUCUGUGAAUGGGUCACUCAAAUGAUAUGAACACUAAUUAAUUUUUAUGAGAUGAUCAAAUUUGUUUGAUAACUAUUUCAAAAACAGUUUUCAAUUCUCUAAAAAAAAAAAGAGUUUUCAAUUCUCUAAAAAAAAAAGGAUUUUUAGAUAUCAUGUUUUAAUUGUUUUGAAAAAAAAUAAUUAUACAAUAUAGAGAAUAAUUAAGAAAAUAAAGGACUGCAUUAUUUUUAAAAUAUAUUUAAAAACACAAAAAAUUAAAUAAAUUUCUAGCUUUAAUUUCAAAAAAACUUUUGUUUUAUAAAAUAUUAUAUAACACUUUUAAAAAAAAGUCUUUCAUAAGUAUUUUCGAAAACACUCCCCAACCAAAACCUUAAAUUCAUCAAGAUGAUGGAGUUUCUUUAAAUGACAAACAAACUAUAUACAGGCAAGCUUACCGGAAUUGUUAUCCUGAAAUGACAUAGUUGAUGCUUUUCUCUGAAUCUUUGCUGCUACUCCGUGGAUUAAUUUCAUGACCACAAUGUGAUAUUAUAUACCGCAGUGGAAAAUAUAGUUUUGAAACUUGGAACGAAAUACAAUUUUUGAAACUUGUAAGGACAAGAAUUAGGUUAUAUAGUCAAGUUUUUUUAAAAAGAAAAAAAAAAUUAUUUGUUGGAUUUAUUUUAAGAAAUUUUAUUUGUUGGACUUUCUUGGUCUAUGUUUAUUGCUUCAUUUAGAUAAUUAUAGUGUUAAUUUUUCAUGAUAUUUGUUAGAAUUUCUCUUCUUAUAUUUGUUGUUGCAUUCUUAUUAUUAUAAUAGUUAAUUUAGUAUUAGCAAAUAAUUUAAUUAUUGUUACAACAUCAGCAGCUGACAAAUAUUUCACUGGAAGAUAUUUUACUAUUAAAAUUAUUUGAGUAAGUUGCUAAAAUUACCUUAUUCAAAUAUUAGUUGUUAGAUUAUUUGAUUAAUUCCUUUAUAUUUGGAAUCUAUUUUAUAAAGUUAACGGAAUUUCUAUUUCUUUCGAAACUGUGAUAGUAACUUUAAACUUUGAAUUAGUUGAUUUAUUAUUGAAAUAAAUUUCUAUAUACUAGCAGAGUAAUGUUUACCCUCAUUAAAACCCGAAAAAUUUAGUGGGUCUCACUUUUGAAGAUGACAAAUAUAAUUAUCUUAGGAUUUUGGGUUUACAUGAAAGUUUGGCCCAAGAUCCUUGUUCAAGACAUAGUUUACAAUGGAUUCUCAAAUGGAAAUUGUCAACACUAAGGCUCUGUUUGGUUCCCGGAAAAUGUGAGAGAAAGAAAAUUGGGAGGAAAAAUGGAAGGAAAUAAAAAGGUAAGGAAAGAAAUAUAAUUUUUUUCACUUGUUUGGUUAUCCAUGGAAAAUUCAAGGGAAAAAAAAAAAGAAUUCAUUUUCUUUUGUUUGGUUAACCACAAAAAAAAAAAGUAAGGAAAAAUGGAAUGAAAAUAAAAUCAAUAAUUUGUCUUAGAUGGUUAUCAAUUUGUUAAAUAAUAAAAUAAAUUAAUCCAAUAAAAAAAUAUUUGAAAAACGUGAAUUUUUCGACAUAAAACAUUGCUCAUAAAAAGUCUCUACUAUUUUUUUUUAUUAAUAAUUAUAAAAUUUAUGUAUAAAAUUUUCCUCAUGUAAUACAAAUAAAAUAUACGAGUAAUAACUAUUUUUUAUUUUCAAGGAAACAUUUAUAGCUAAUAAAAAGCUCUUAAAAAAUUCAAAAGGAUUUUUGGAAUCAAAAUUUAGAAAUAAAAUAUAUUCAUAUAAUGUAAAAAUAAAAAACUACUAUAUAAAAUAUAAAAUUCAAAAUUAAGAGUUGAGGCCCAUUUUACAUGUGCUUAAUCGUUUUCCCACUCCUAAAUCUAGCAACAAAUUAUUCCCACUCUUCUUACAAAUUAACAUGAUAUGAAGCUAUGUUAAAUAAUAAGGAAAGGACAAAGCAAUACAAAUAAAAUGAUUUUUUUCACGUUGGUUAAUCAUAAAAGAUAUGAAAGAAAAAGUAAAUAAAAAUAAUAUAUUAAUUUUAUUUUUUCUUUGCAAUUUUCGUGAAAAUUUUCAAAAACCAAUGAUAGGGUAAAUAAUCAAUAUCAGCACUCAGUGGAUGGUUGUGGUGUAUACCAAUUGUGUUUGAAGAAGAAAUACCUCAGAAAUGUUCUAAAAAGUAUCAUUUUCCAUUGUCUUUUAUUGAAUGGCCAGUCGAGGUAUAGAAAAUUGCAGUUAAACCAGUACUGAGUCAAACAGGAAUGUAGUUAAACCCGGUUCAAAGAUUCCAUGAUAUCUAGGUUAUAUAUAUAAAAUCUUUGCAAGAUUACCACAGUUUUGAAAAUUGUUUGACCAAUUCAGCCUUACCUCUACCUGAAACAGAAUUCCAUACAAAAAGACAUCACAAUUCUGAAUAAGCUUCAGGUUUCCUUCAAAUAUGAUCCAACAAACGAGGGAUUUCUCAAGGACAUCACGGCAACAACAACAACAACAAAAAAAGGAAAAAGAAAAAAACAAAAAGAAAAAAGAAAAAAAGAAAAUAUAGAGAAGGCCCUAAAAGAACAGGAACAGGUGAUAUGAAGCUUCCUACCCCAUGUCACUUUGACAUCUCAUUCCAUGAUGUAAAGGAGAAACUCAAAGGAGAACAAAAAACUACUUCAAAAGCAAAGCAUGAUUCUGGGUCUCUUCCCCAGAAAGAGGCUGUAAUGCUUAUUCAAAAUGACUGUAUGAAGAAGGAAACAAUUAUCAGCAUUCCUGACAGUACAAUGCAUAUUGAUCAUAUUCAACAAUUCAGUUAUAUAACAGUUUAAUUAAAAGGCAUUCUCUAUCCAAAUACCGAAAGAUUCCUGAAUAUUCCAAACACUGAGAAGCAAAAACUUUAUCUGAAACGCAAAGAAACCACAUGGAUGCUGAGCUGGAAAAGUAAAAUGAAUCAGAAUCUCAACCAGCUGCUUUUAAACCACCCCCAGAAAAGGUUCUCAAUUCUCAAACCAAAACCAAAACGCGUAUCAAAACUAAGGUAAAAGUAGCUGUAGAUUUGAAAAGAUAGAUGAAUAAAAUUUCAUAGUUCUAUUCCUUAAAUUAUGACCAACAAUGUGAAGGAAUUUGGCAACUUGUUCUUCUACAUUACUAUGUGCAAUAUUUCUAAGACGACCUGUUCCCCGAAGAAUGUUUACUAGUCUUGCGAAUGCAUCCUUUCCCAUAUGUAGUUGAUUAUAACAAUCUUCAUUAUCCAUUAGUGUAAGUCUUUCCAUCAAAGCAUGUCGUUCAUAAUCUCCUUCAUUAGAGAUUGAUCUCUCCAAAUAGUUUGAGCGAUGAUAAACUGAAACAAGAAUUGCCGCAUAUGCAGCAUACAUAGCUACACAAGUUGCAGCCCAUCUUCUAAGUCUUUGCCAUUCUUCAUUAUAAGUCUACAUGAUAGCAAAGUAAGAGGAAUGAUUUAGUAAAGUCAUUAGGUAAAGUAAGAGGAAUUGAAGUAUUAUGAUUUCUAGCUAUGAAAAUUUCGAGGAAAAUAUUGCAUGAAAAUUAAGGGAUGUUUCUGCCCACUAGUUCUUUUCUUGAUGUUAAUUGCAACAUGGCUCUGCUAUAUAAUGUUGGAACAAGGAGACAAAACUGCCUGGUUCUAUGAAUCAAGACACUGAAUUAAUUGGACCUUUUUACUUAAUGUUGAACAGUUUUUAAAAUUUGUACUUAAUGGGCUAGGCUUAGAGUGAAUAUGUGUGAGUUAGUGUGUGGCUUUGUGAGCUACAUUUAAUCCAUUAAGAAUGUAGAAGUUGCUGCCAAAGACUAGAGAAGAAGUUGUUGUAAAGAAAAUUUCCCACAAUUCCAAGCAGGGAGUGAAGGAGUUUGUUGCAGAGAUUGCAAGCCUAGGAAAGCUGAGGCACAGGCACUUGGUUCAUCUCCAAGGUUGGUGUAAGCGAAAAGGCGAUCUCCUUCUUGUUUAUGAUUAUAUGUCCAAUGGCAGCCUGGACACCUUCCUGUUUCAAGAAGACAAGAACCUGGAUUGGGGACAGAGGUUCAGGAUCCUCAAGGAGAUUGCUGCAGGCCUCCUAUAUUUACAUGAAGAAUGGGAUUUUAGCAUGUUGUUAGGGCUUUUAGCAUGGGUAGGCUUGAUACAUAUGGAUUAUUAUCUAAGAAUUUAAGCUAUUAGAUUAAAGAAGCCUGUUUUUUAUAAAAUGAAGCUUUUAUAUACAUGGGGGGAAGAAGAGAUUAUAUUCUUGAUAACCAAAACAGAGUGUGACUGUAUUACAAUUUCUCGAAAGAGUCACCAACAAGUGCAGAUUUUUUUUUAUUUUAUCAGAUUGAGUUUUCAGGUUUUUGGAAAGGGUGAACUUAUAUUUCCCAAGUGCAUGUUUAAAUGAAGUCUUUUGAGAAUAUCAAACAGUUCAUACUCCUUUUCAUUAUUUCAGUAGUAUGUGUUCAUGUUAUUUCCCAACUUCUUCAUGGUCAACCUGAAUAAGAUUAGUGCAAUUGUGCAAUCCCUUAUAUUGGCAGUUAAAAUUUACAAAUGACUGAACAUCUAUGAUAAACCUAUCCUACCUAUUUGGAACUUCAUGAUACUAACAUAUGCACACAUUUUUUUAUACGUACAAAUAGCCACCAGAAAAAAAUAUUUUUGGGUGAUGUUGCAAUCACCCUUCCAUAAUUUAGAUUAUAAAACUAGCUGGCAAAAAGUUCCAUCAUAAUCCAUCCUUUUAUCCACAACAAUAUACUCUCUGAGACACCAAAAUUGAAAGAGGUUCUGAUUCUUUCCCAUGUAAAAGUAUGCUUCUGCAAGUCCCCCAAGUCCCAGCAUGGCCCUCUAGCAGAAAGUGCCUUGGCACCCAAAUGCUAGUCCCACAAAACUACCUGUUGGUUGCAACUAAUUUACCCACUUGGGUGUUGCAGCUACCCAAAUGUUACUUCUAAAUAAGGGUUACUAGGGUUAGGGAAAGACUCUUUAAUGUGCAUUAGGCUAACACCCCUGCUCACAUUGGACCCCAAUCUGCAUGUUGAGAGGGAAAAUUCAAUAUGCAUACUCUAAGAAUUGGAGUUUUAACAACAUGUAAUGUUGGAUUGUAAAACCUAAAUCAGUCUUGUUGUGUCACGUAUUUUUGUCAUCCUAUUGACAGACCAAAAGAAAAAAGGUUCAGAAGUCAUCAAGUUGUAUAAAUGAAAGACUAAAAAACUUGUAUCAGAUGAACAGGAAAUUAAUGUUGUUAGCCGGAGAAGGGAAGGAGAUUUGCUUCACCAAUGAUUUGAGGCCUUGGACUAGAAAAUUUGGAAGUAUUGCAGAGGAAAAGUUGAGGUGCCAUCAUGAAUAGGACGUAAGGUUCACAUGAGUUCAAACCAAACUGACAGAAGGUCCUUUAUGUUGGCUCUUGCUUAUAUUAGUUCUUAUAUUAGUUCUUGUAAAAUCGUCUUGGAUGUCAUCAUGAAUUUUCGCCAUUUUAUCUAGCUAGCUAGAUACUGCUGCAUUGGAACUCCCUUCCAGAAGUAAAGAAAUUAACAUAGAAAAUACAUAAGUUCUUUCUUCAUUGUAGUUCCUGUUCUCCUACUUCUGCCUGUUGUCUAAUUGGUUUUCGAGUUGUCUAAACAAUUCAUUGUAGCCCUCACACCCUAAAUCAGUGGCUUAAGAUUCCAAACUUGGUUAUUUAAGAUUGAUUUCAUAGGAUGCAAUAAUUUCCUAACAAUUUAGAUAUAAAAAAGAAUUAAGCAAAAUGGGCCAUUUUUAUGCUUGGUACAAUCAAAUACAUAUGUAAAGUUAGCAAUAUAAAGUAAAUAGAAUAGGUAAGAUAAAUUAACACAAUUCAUAAAGAUCAAGACAUCAAUGAGAAGGAAAAAAAUCACAAGCUAUAAUCUCCUUGAAUCUUUCGCAACUAAAAAUUAAUGGAGCAUAAUGAAUUUAUUUAUUUAUUUUUCAAUCAAGUGAAAGGUCCCAGAACCUCCACCAGAGAACAUGCAGUUGGGUUGUGGACGUCUACUCCCUUACGACUUCAUGAGCUAAUUAAUAUGAGCAGGUGGCAGUGUAUAUGUUGGAAAAAGGGGAUGAAUGAAAUUAAGUAAAUCCAUUGAAUUAAGUAAAUUCAUUCAUUUUUCUCGAAUUCUAAGAGUCUCAAGAAGCCAAAUUCAUUUUGGCUUUCUGAACCUAUCUGUGUUCUUCCCUCCUUGAAGUCUAUAAGUAGUGGUAGACUUUCUUUCAAAAACUACAUAAAAACUUUGGAGUAUUGUUAGAGUGUUGAAGAGUUCCUUCCUUCCGUGUCCGUGAUAGAGUUGAACAAUUUCCAGUUCGCCGGAGUGGCUGCAGAGUGUUGUUGUUGUCAUUCGAAGAUCGUUUUAUCCUGGGAGACAGACGUCUUGCGAUUCUCAAAUCACCUGUGGAGAAAGCGAAUCUGUUUUAAGGAGAUUGUGUUUUCCACAAGACUCGGUCUAAUCUUCUUCCUUAAUUCUCUGUUUUUUUUUUUCCAGUUUUCUUUUAUUUUCUUAUGAACUAACCAGUGUGUGCAGUGUGGUUGUAGAUAACAUUCUUAAAACAGAUUUUUUUCAAAGGAAAACCAGUGGUUGGUGAAAAAAAAAAAACAAAUCUGGAAAAAAAAAAAUUUUCAAAUUUGUGUUUUUUUUUAGAAGGAAAAAAAAAAAAACAACCAUUUGUUACAAAAAGAAGUUUCGAACUUUUAACUUGAGCCCUUUUUCUCAUGCUCAACUCAAUAAGACACCAUUGGACUGUGACUCAUGUUUUUUUUAUUAUGGGAAAAAUACCUUCUUAUAAAGUUUGUACCAAGUCUUUUGAAAAUUUGGAAAUUAUGAUACAGAGAAGUUCUGUCUAAGGUAAUUGGAAUUUAAGCGGGACCAUUUGUCACCCCUCCAAUUUCCUGGGAACUGAAUAUUCUGUCUAAGGAAGCUAGUCCUGAUCUGGGUCAUUAUACCCCACUAGUCUUUCCUGGGAAUACUCUGUAAAGUGAUUUUCAGUUUUUUGAAGUUUUUUUUUUUUGAAAAAAAAAAAAAAAAAAAAAGGAAAAAGAAAUUGACACAUUUUCUUGGAUGGUUCAGGAAAAUGACAACUGAAUCCGAUAACGUUGUUGUAACUGAAUUAGCCCCAGUGGCAAACCCUACUGUGGCCCAAGUGCCAGCGAUGCCUACUGCUGUACCAAUCUCUGUCUCACCAGGAGAAAAACCAGAGAAGUUCAGUGGACUAAAUUUUAAAAGGUGGCAACAAAAGAUGUUAUUCUAUUUGACCACGUUGAAUCUUGCAAGAUUCUUGACUGAGGAUGCUCCUAAGCUCAAAGAAGACGAGCACGAUAUCCAAGUCAUCAGUGCUAUAGAUGCUUGGAAACAUUCUGACUUCUUGUGUAGAAAUUAUGUCAUGAAUGGUUUAGCUGAUUCGUUGUACAAUGUUUAUUCUGACAAGAAAAUAGCUAAGGAGCUAUGGGAAUCUCUAGACCGGAAAUAUAAAACUGAGGAUGCCGGGGCUAAGAAAUUUGUUGUGGGUCGCUUCCUCGACUAUAAGAUGGUAGAUUCCAAGACUGUGGUAAGUCAAGUCCAAGAACUUCAAGUAAUCUUGCAUGAGAUACAUGCUGAGGGAAUGAUGUUGAGUGAAACUUUCCAAGUAGCAGCUAUUAUUGAGAAACUACCCCCUGCUUGGAAAGAUUUUAAGAAUUGCCUCAAGCACAAAAGAAAGGAAAUGAGCAUCGAGGAUCUAAUUAUUAGACUUCGCAUUGAAGAAGAUAAUAGAAGAUCUGAAAAGAAAGGGGUGCACACUCUAAAUGAGGCCAAGGCUAACUUUGUGGAACAUGGUCAAAGUUCCAAGGCAAAGACGAACAACAACAAAGGGAAAGGAUCUAAGUUGGGACCUAAAGGAGGGAUCUCAAAGAAGCCGAAAUUUCAAGGGAAAUGCUUCAAUUGUGGUAAGCAAGGUCACAAGUCUGUUGAUUGUAGACUACCCAAAAAGAAUAAACCUAAGGAAGCUAAUGUGAUUGACAACAUCACUAAAAAUGUUUCUAACAUUGACCUCACAGCAGUAGUCUCUGAGGUGAACUUGGUGGGUUCUAACCCAAAGGAAUGGUGGAUUGAUACUGGUGCUACUCGCCAUGUAUGCUCUGAUAAGAAAAUGUUCUCCACUUUUGAACCAAUUGAGAAUGGGGAAAAAGUGUUCAUGGGGAACUCUACCACCUCUGAGAUCAAGGGUCAAGGUAAAGUAAUCUUGAAGAUGACUUCUGGGAAAGAGUUGACUCUGACCAAUGUUUUAUAUGUACCGGAAAUUCGCAAGAACUUGGUGUCUGGUUCAUUGCUGAAUAAUCAUGGAUUUCGGUUGGUCUUUGAGUCAAACAAAUUUGUUUUGUCCAAGAGUGGAAUGUAUGUUGGGAAAGGGUAUAUGAGUGAUGGAAUGUGGAAACUCAAUGUAAUGACUAUUAUUAAGUCAAAUAUGAAUAAAGCUAGUACUUCUACUUACAUGCUUGAGUCUUCUAAUCUAUGGCAUGGUAGAUUAGGACAUGUUAAUUAUGAUACAUUACGUAGAUUAAUUAACUUAAAUCAUAUACCAACAUUCCAAAUUAAUUCCAACCAUAAAUGUGAAACUNNNNNNNNNNNNNNNNNNNNNNNNNNNNNNNNNNNNNNNNNNNNNNNNNNNNNNNNNNNNNNNNNNNNNNNNNNNNNNNNNNNNNNNNNNNNNNNNNNNNUUGACAUUUGUGCUCAACAUGGGAUUAUACACGAAACAACAGCACCUUAUUCGCCUCAAUCCAAUGGAGUGGCUGAGCGAAAGAAUCGUACCUUAAAGGAAAUGAUGAAUGCAAUGUUAAUAAGUUCUAGUUUGCCACAAAACAUGUGGGGAGAAGCCAUUUUAACUGCUAAUUACCUUUUGAAUAAGGUACCCAAAAAGAAAGCAGAAAAGACUCCAUAUGAGUUAUGGAAAGGAAGAAAGCCAUCCUACACAUACUUACGAAUGUGGGGAUGUCUUGCUAAAGUGGCAGUUUCUCCACCUAAAAAGGUGAAAAUAGGACCUAAGACUAUUGAUUGCAUUUUCAUUGGCUAUGCACAUAAUAGUAAUGCUUAUCGGUUUCUUGUUUAUGAAUCAAAUAUCCCAGAUAUUCAUAAGAACACGAUAAUGGAAUCAAGGAAUGCAUCAUUCUUUGAAGAUGUAUUUCCAUGUAAAUCCAAAGAAGAGCCAAGUUCAUCAAAAAGAAUGCUUAAGAGUCAGGAUCAAAAUGAAGAAGUUGAGGUAGAACCUAGACGUAGCAAAAGGGUAAGGACAGAAAAGUCUUUUGGUCCAGAUUUUCUAAAUUUUAUGCUUGAAGGCGAACCUCAAACUUUUAAAGAGGCAGUGAACUCUACAGAAGGUCUUAUGUGGAAAGAGGCCAUUAAGAGUGAAAUUGAUUCCAUAUUGCAAAACCAUACUUGGGAACUAGUGGAUCUUCCGCCAGGUUGUAAACCUUUAAGUUCCAAGUGGAUUUUCAAGAGAAAGAUGAAAGUAGAUGGAUCAAUUGACAAGUAUAAAGCAAGACUUGUAAUCAAAGGCUACAGACAAACUGAAGGCCUAGAUUAUUUUGACACAUAUUCUCCUGUGACGAGAAUAAAUUCCAUAAGGAUGGUACUUGCAAUUGCUGCAUUGAGAAAUCUUGAAAUAUAUCAAAUGGAUGUAAAAACAGCCUUUCUAAAUGGAGAUUUAGAUGAAGAAAUCUAUAUGGAGCAACCUGAGGGUUUUUCAGCUCCAGGACAAGAAAAGAAAGUUUGUAAACUGGUAAAAUCUUUGUAUGGCUUAAAACAAGCAUCGAAACAAUGGCAUGAAAAAUUUGACAAUGUUAUGCUGUCACAUGGCUUCAAAAUCAAUGAAUGUGACAAGUGUGUUUAUGUCAAGGAUACAGAACAUGGAUAUGUCAUUGUAUGUUUGUAUGUAGAUGACAUGCUUAUUGUUGGUAGUGAUGAUAAGAUGAUCACAUCUACAAAGAACAUGUUGAAUUCAAGGUUUGACAUGAAAGACAUGGGACUUGCUGAUGUUAUAUUGGGAAUAAAAAUCAAAAGAACAUCAGAUGAACUCAUAUUAAGUCAGUCACAUUAUGUAGACAAAAUUCUUGGAAAGUUUGAUAAAGAUAAUUCUGGAGUUGCUAGAACACCGAUGGAUGUAACUCUACAUUUGUCCAAUAAUAAAGGUGAGAGUGUUUCUCAAGUAGAAUACUCUAGAGUAAUAGGCAGUCUAAUGUACUUAAUGAGUUGUACAAGACCAGACAUAGCCUAUGCGGUUAGUAAACUGAGUAGAUAUACGAGUAAUCCCGGAGCCAAGCAUUGGCAAGGAAUUAUAAGAGUACUAAAGUACUUACGGUUUACUCGUGAUUAUGGGCUGCACUAUACGAGAUAUCCUGCUGUACUUGAAGGAUAUAGUGAUGCGAAUUGGAUAUCUAAUGUUAAAGACUCAAAAUCCCAUAGUGGUUAUGUGUUUACACUAGGAGGUGCAGCAGUGUCGUGGAAAUCCUAAAAAAAAUGGUUAUUGCCAGAUCCACAAUGGAAUCUGAAUUUAUAGCACUAGAUAAAUGUGGGGAAGAGGCUGAAUGGUUACGCCACUUCCUAGAGGAUAUUCCAAGGUGGUCAAAGCCUGUGUCUCCAAUUUGCAUACAUUGUGAUAGUCAAUCUGCAAUUGGUAGAGCACAGAGUAAUAUGUAUAAUGGUAAGUCUAGACACAUUCGUCGUAGACACAAUACCAUUAGACAACUACUCUCAACUGGGGUUAUCUCUGUGGACUAUGUGAAAUCCAAAGAUAACAUUGCGGAUCCACUAACCAAAGGGUUAAAUAGAGAGUUAGUUGAAAAGUCAUCAAGGGGAAUGAGACUAAAGCCCAUAAAAGAAUAAGUCAAUACAGUGGAUACCCAACCUAGUUGACUGGAGAUCCCGAGAUCUAGGUUCAAAAGGGACAACUAAACUGUAAAGACUUUGUUAAAUCACUGUGGGGAUCUUCCCUAGUCCAUUCCUAUGAUAAAAUAGUGAUGCCUGUAAGAGGAAAGGGUAAGCUAUGCUUUUAAUGAUCCUUAUGCUUCGGAAAUCCGAACAGAGUAAUGCGGGUUACUCGUGAUUAAGAGAUCACCUAUGUAAGAGUGAAGUGGGGCCGCUUCUAAGGGAAUUGAAUAAGGCACAAUUCUUAUUAAACUCUUACAGAACCAGGCGUAUGUUCAUGGCCAAAAUGAACAUAAAAGUGAGAACUGAAAUAUGUUAGGAAGAUUCCUGUGUGAGAUAUGUCAUCAUCUACAUAAAUGGCAGAACAGUUCAAGGACAUCGUGUCUACUGUUUAGCUAGUAGAGUAAACAUAUUUCUACAAGGGAAGGUUCAAAGGGUAACACCUACCUCUCCUAUGCAGGUUUCAACCGUUGUACUCUUUCACAAAGUUCAUCGUGUCUUAAUUUCUUUCAUGUGGGGAAUUGUUGGAAAAAGGGGAUGAAUGAAAUUAAGUAAAUCCAUUGAAUUAAGUAAAUUCAUUCAUUUUUCUCGAAUUCUAAGAGUCUCAAGAAGCCAAAUUCAUUUUGGCUUUCUGAACCUGUCUGUGUUCUUCCCUCCUUGAAGUCUAUAAAUAGUGGUAAACUUUCUUUCAAAAAGUACAGAAAAACUUUGGAGUAUUGUCAGAGUGUUGAAGAGUUCCUUCCUUCCGUGUCCGUGAUAGAGUUGAACAAUUUCCAGUUUGCCGGAGUGGCUGCAGAGUGUUGUUGCUACCAUUCGAAGAUCGUUUUAUCCUGGGAGAUAGACGCCUUGCGAUUCUCAAAGCACCUGUGGAGAAGGCGAAUCUGUUUUAAGGAGAUUGUGUUUUCCACAAGACUCGGUCUAAUCUUCUUCCUUAAUUCUCUGUUUUUUUUUUUCCAGUUUUCUUUUAUUUUCUUAUGAACUAACCAGUGUGUGCAGUGUGGUUGUAUCUAACAGUAUAAUCCAAGUCCAGCAACAUGAGAAUUAGUCCAGCCCUAUCCUUACACCUUUUGAAUUCCCAAUUCAACCUCGUGUUUCCCGGAAAAUCAUAUAUUACUGACAAUAAAUAAGUAAUAAACAUUUUCAAUCUUAUCGGAAGGCUAAUAACAACAACACAUGAUACCCAAAAUUACAAAUUAUCAUUUCUUCAUAUUAACAUUCAAAGUUGCAAUUAACAAUAAAGAGAAUCAAAACCCUAAUAAUAUUCAAAAUCCCCAUUCUGAAACAUGAAAUCAUUGGUCCAUAAAGCCCUAAGAAAUAACUCAAAUCGAAUUCAAACCCUCAUUUGAAGGGGAAAAAAAAAUAAAAAGCAAAUAUCAAUCCAAACAAACUCGAAAUUCCCAUUGGAAACCUUAAACCCUAAUUUCUAGUCAGUUGUAUGGAAAAGGCUGAAUGAGGGAAAGAGAUCAUAAAAUUAAACCAACAUCAAACACAGAGAUGAUGUGAGGUUAAGAGAAAAGAGUUCAAUUCAUACCUGACUUGAAGACAUGGAUCCGUCAUCCAUGGGAACUUGAUUUGAAGAACGCACUUCAUCAAUGGGAACUCGAGUGCCUGAAAUUGGUAGGUUUUCAGAGGCACUCGAAGGUGGUCGGAGUGAUAGUGGUGGCCGUUGAAAGGGUUUGACGACUUUGAGAAGCCAUAGCCACUGACGAAGAGGAAGUUAGAGAUGAAGCUUCGGUGAACAAGAGCCGACAAAAUUUUCCUCCUCUUUUCCCUGCUCUUUUUCUCUUAUAUUUUCCACGUUAUUUUUUAAGGAAAAUAGUGAGGAAAAUAUUACAAUAUUUUCUUUAAUAUUUUCCUUCAUAUUUUUUUUCCAUUGUAUUUUCUAUGUCAUCCAAACUAAAAAAAAUCAUUUUCCUUUAUAUUUUUUUUCCUUUCCUUAGCAUUUUCCAGGAACCAAACAUAGCCUAAGUAUAAAUUUAAAGCUCGAGAGACAUAACCAAUACCUAUUACUUAAUUAGGGAUAACAGUUUCACGAGAUUUUUUGAGUUACCUUCCCCUCUCUGCUCCUAUUAGAACAAAUACAAGAGCAUAAUAAUCAGGAUUGGGACGAGUUUAAGUUUUGUAAUAACCUACCCCUUCUUGCUCCAGAUAUAAAAUUAUGAAUUACUCAUUAUAUAUUAUAAAAUACCAAAAAACUCCCCUUAUAAAUACUUCCCUCAUCUUUUAUUUUUAAGGUUCCUUUCAUUCAAUAAACAUCUCUUCUUCUUGGACAUGUGUUAUUUUCUCUCGUUCUCUUUCUCACUUUUGAGUUUCUAUAAAGUUGGUUGUUCUCACAAAGGUAGAGCUAGGGGUGUAAAUAAGGUUGAUUCAGUUAAUUUUUAGAUAAAAAAUGAAUCGAAUCGAUAUAGUUGGUUUUAUAUGUGAUAAAAACUGAACUAAAUCAAACCUUUUAAGGUCGGUUUGGUUUGGUUUUUGUGGAUUGGUUUUGACCUAACUUAUUAAUCUUUUUUAUUCUUAAACUUAGUUGUAGAUUCAUGUUUGUUCUGAGCCCAAAUCCUAUUAAUUUGAGUUUAUAUUAGGCCAUAAGUCUAAUUUGUUUUUAAAAUUAAUUAAAACUAACUUGAAUUUGAUGUUAAAAAUAUAUUACAUGCAUUUAAAAUUAACUUGACCAUAAUAUAAAAAAAAAUGAAUUAAUUUAAUCGAAUCUAAUAUAUAAAAACUUAUCAAAUAUCAAAUAAUCAUAUAUAAGUUUUAGGAUAUCGGUUUCAUUCGAUUUUUAUUGGUUAGGAGACAAGAAAAUUGAAAACUGAACAGAUUGGAUCAGUUUUCAAAAUUCUCAAACUGAUCUGACUUUUUUUUUUUUUUUUUUUGAAAACAAAACCAAUAUGAUCGGUUUUAGUUGGUUUGGAUCGGUUUAUCGAUUUUUUUGAUUUUGCUUUCAUCCCUAAGUAGAGCUCACAACCAAAAUCACACCCACUACAAUGGAUCUCAAGUUGAACACCGCAUUUAUCUCCCCAUCUCACAACCUUCCUCCUUAAUCUCACUGUCCCAGAUCUCACAAAGCUUUCAUGGCCUCCACUUUUCUCAUGGGUUUGGGUUCUGAUUUAGAAUCUUGUGACACCCAUUACUAUAAUUCCAACCAAGUUUUUCUUGGUUUCUAAAUGGAUCCUAGUGUGAUUUGAGUUUUUCUUUGUAGAGAUGUUUGUGGGUGUCAUAAAAAUGAGUUUUUGGUGUUUGUAUUGAUGUGGGCUGUGGGUUGUUGCUAUUUGAUCCAAAUGUGUUAAUUGCUUUUUCAUAAUAAUAAGUUCAUCAUGAUCUCAAGUAUAAUUGCUUUGUAAAUGCCUUUUCUCAUAUGGGUGUUUUGUCAAGUGCCCAUUGAACAUCAUUCAUUUCUAUGCCUUUUAACUGAAAAAGCCUUCACAGUGUGACAAAUAAAAUGAGUUCCACCCAUCCAUGAGAUCCAUUCUUCAAAUUUGAAAAAAAAAAAAAAAAGGAAAAGAAUUAUUUUAUUUAUCCUUUUUUUUUGUUCUUUUUUUUUUUUUUUUUUUUUUUUUUGUGAUCACCUUGUCUCUAGUUUGGUAUCUUUACACCAAGAAGAAAGUGGGUGCUUGGACUCAAAAUUGGGCCACUGGGUUAGAAUGUGCCAGGCCCAUUAAGGCCAGAUAUUGAGCUGGGCCAUACAUAGAGCCCAGUGCUUACCAUAGGGCCCGAGCUCAAGCAGACUGGUGAGGAAUGAGGAUGAAAGUCAACUCAAGUUUGACCCAGCUUGAACUCAAAUCAGAGAUUUUUAACCUCACUUCAAUUUUUAGGGUUUCUCUCUGGUAACAUAUUGAGAAGACGUGGCUACAUCAGUUUUAUUUCUUUGUAUCUUUACAAUAAUUGUAGUUGAUGGUAUCUAGCUACUUUUAAUUUCAUUCAUAAACCUUUAUUCUAACAAUCCAUAUUUAAUCAUAUGCAUCCAGGCUCAAAUUAAAAAAAAAAAGUUGGUAUAUAUGAUACCAAAAAGGUGUAAAAAAUUUGUCUUGAAUUAAAAAAUUGCAAAAUAAUACAGUAAAAAAUUAAUAUUAAUAUAAAUUAAGACCUAUUUUUUGUUUUAGAAGUAAAAAUAAUAGUAACCCCUAUACAAAUAAUACAAACUUAUUUAAUUUUUUUUUUUUAAAAAAAAAAAGAGAGUUGCAUAUAAUAUUUCUUCCCAAACACAAAACACUACUUUUCUGCAGGUAUAUUUGAGUGUGUAUAGGCUAAUGUGUCAAGACUAAAUCAAGAAGAGAGAUUUUACAAGUGCAUGAUGUUUAAGACUUGAAGUAUGUGUGGGUUCCUCGAACUUAUUUUUUAUAGUUGGGAGUUUAAUUCACGGUAAUCAUUGUUUAGUCACAAAAUUGUUAAAAUGGGAGCUUGUUAGUAUUUUAAAUUAGACAAGGUUGACAAUUUUGCUCUAAACCCUUACACCCUGUAACUAGUUUAAAUGUUCAACUAUGUUUUUACCGUUUGACCAUAUUUACAAAGUUUUUCGGAAAUUCAGUAAGUAGUAUUUCAUAUGUAUUCGAUGUUCAUUAUAUUGAUUGGUUGAUCGAUAUUAUUGAUCUUGAUCAAGUUGAUUGAUAACCAAUAAAAUCUAGAUAUAAUUUAAAAUUUAGGAUAUAACAAAUCGCUUGAUCUAUUUAUUCAAUGAAUCAAAAGCAAACUUUCAAUUUCUACAUUUUAUAUGAAUUAAAAGCUUUUGGUUUUUUUUUCUUUGAAAAAAACAUGUAUACAUAGUAACAACAUCCACAUGCAUGUUUUUAAUGAUAACAAAUAUUGGUCCAUUUUUCGGUUGAGGUGUUAUUCUAUUCAUUUAAUUUACCUUUUAAUUCAUAUAUUGAAUAGUAAAACACAUGAUUAAUUUACCCUUAUAAAAAAAUAUUAAAUUUUGCACAUUAUUGUUUAUCUCAACCACAAUUUUAUUCAUAUAUACAGAUGGAUAAUUCACCAGCAAAAGUAAUUACUUAACAGACAUCCAUGUAAAUACGGUUUGUAUGAGAGUGAGUACGAGGAGUAUAACUGCAGCAAUUGUAGAAGCUCCUCUCCAUGGAGAACUGAAAUAGUCAUGUCUCAAUGUUGCCUGCCAACGGUUCCAUGGACUAUCGUAGUAUUUAUUCAGCUUCUCAUAUAUACCUGCAAAAUGGAAGGUCUCCUUACAUGUUGUCGUAUCAAUUAGCAGUCUGUUAAAUAGAUUCUUAACCGCAUGGUUGUCGCCCAGAUGGUUACUGAUAAUUCCCUUCCUAACAAGUAAGUUAACGUCUUUAGUAGUGUUGAUAAGGUGAUCCAUGAGGUACAUGUAGUCGGUUAUGUAAGUUUGUGCAUGGUCGUGACAUUCCUCGUAGGCAAUGAGGUUUCGAAACAAGGAUUCACACUUUUCUUGCAGUAUCAGAUGUGGGAUUUUCAGAACACCAUUAUUAUAGUCUAAAUCAAGUAAUUUGUCGUUGUCUUUGUCUUUCGAUCCCAACUUAAACCGCACUCCCGCCUCACGGAGAUAUGUUGCAGUAGGUAUCACGAAUUUGAACGACUUUGAUUCUGGUGGUAGACUAGAGGAUGAAGGCUGCAGACAAACUAUUAGCAAAUCAACAAAGUGUUUUAUCUCAUGACGACUUGAGAUCUUCUUCUUAAUUUCAGUCACUAUUUCAUCAGAACUUUUGGCUUCUGGCAUUUGCAAGUAGUCUUUGAAGAAUUUGACAGACAAGAGAAGGAAUGAGUAGUGGGCGUAGUCAUUUUGGUUUUCUGGAAGGGGUCCUGGAGGAGCCCGCAGGCUGUAGAGAGAGAGGAGAAGAAAGAAUGGAAGCUGGUUUUCUAGUAAGGUCAUGUCGCGGCGCACAUCAAUGAACAACCGUGGCUUGUUGUAUAUCCGAUCACCUGUUUCGAUAGAAUGACUGCUGGAAAAGCCCAAGAUCACUUCAAUGAUGAAGCAAGCAUCCACUAGAAUCAUCUUCACAAAUUCUUCUCUGCUCAUCUUUAUGCUUUCCAUGUAAUAGCCUCGGGCCUUUUCCUCCUCCCUGUAUAUAAUUUCAACACACUCCUCUAAGGUUUUGCGGGUUUCAGAAAGAAAUUUUUGGAGGUACCUCAGCUUAUGCUCUUCCAUGGCUACCAAGUGCUCUUCGCCAUGAUGUAGGGGACCGAUGGAGACUACUCUAGGCGUGUAGGCUUCCAUAUUUGCUUUCCGCAGUUUCUGUGGCACUCUAUAUAUACAGCAUGUA
rnacentral:lncRNA from 1 species